GGAGGGUUGACCGAGUGGCUAAGGAGCUCGCUUGGAAAGCGAGUAGGGCAGCUAUGCCUCGUGGGUUCGAGUCCCAUGCCCUCCGCCA
rnacentral:tRNA from 1 species